UGGCUGGCAGUUGAAUCGCGGCAAUGGUGCGUAGAAGUUGUGUCCGUUCUCCGUAACUAAAUUUCUCCUAAUUAUAAUUAUUUGUGUUGUCAGUGCAAGUUUAAGUGAAAAUGGAUACACUAAUGACGGGAUAUUGGAGAAGCGUAGCUGCCUACGAAGCAAUAUCAGCCCAUGCACAUAUUUUGCAAAAUAACAGUUCUUCAAACGUGAUCACAAGUACCUGAAGAAGUCCUCCCUGCAGAAGAGCUUCGCCUCCCUGGAGAAACACUUGUCCUGUAACGUGGUUCUGCAAUCGAAACAGCGGACGCACUCGACGUGCCAUGCUCGGUCCAAAACAUUCAGCAGGUACUGAUCCAUAAUUGGUUUCUCGCAUCCUGCACAUGACAGGAGCAUCGCCAAACCGCGUCUCCCUGCUUCGGAAAGAAAGAGCAUCGCUUGUUCUGCGAACGGAGAGAAAAAAGUUGGUUAAUUAUUUAAAUUGCAAGUAACGUUAGGAAAUUCUUAAUACGGCCCAUGUUUAUACGAUGGAAAAUGUUUUUCUGUCGUCUAAUUAGGGAAACUAGUAUCGGUAACCACGGUAAAAUUAAUUAUAAUUGUAGUUGUAGCAUAAUUAGGGUCCGAUUAAAUACAAGUGUAACGCGUGUUCGAAACAUACUCCAUUGUCGAUUGGAUUCAAAGUCGCCUGAAAAUCGGUCGCACUUGUCACGUCUGCGCACGUGCAUAACGAACCACGUACUGUAUAGUAAUUUUUUUUCUUAAUUACAACGCUUUGAUUACCGUGCAGGAUAAGGAACUGUGUAGAAUGUAGCUCGACCGUAAACACCGUACAACUUCUUCGUUGUCGUUGUCAAUCUCGGGGAUAAAAGUGUUACGCAUCUCUAGUACUGAUAUAGAAAAAAUUGUAAAAAGAUGAAGGAAAUGUGAUCCUAAGUAGUUUAACAUGUUAACAACGAUGGCUGGCGCCUCAAAUUUUAUAUAAUCAUAUGAUUCAUCAAAGAGAUGAAUAUAAAAUUUUUUAGUAGCAUUGCUGUUAUGUUAAUAAUGGAGAAUUAAAAAUUAAUUUUGAUACGUCUUAUAACACAUGGCUUGUUUCACUAUGGCGCACGUGUGAACAGGUUACUGUCAUAGUAGAAACGAACAUAUGUAGUCAGACAUUUAUUAAUUAUUCAGUUACAUUGUACUCUAUCAAUUCUUUAAAAUUACCAAUUGAUAAUUACUACUGGUUAUUACAAAUAGUUUUCCAAUUGCAAUUGGUGCAAUUGAAUGAUAGACAGAUAGAAAUAAGAGAGGAUUCGUGACACCACUCAAUAGCAAUAAAUUAACAAAAAAAAACAAAAAAAAAAUGGAGUAAAUCAAGUGGAAAUGAAACUACUUAGAAAAACAUACUAGACUGAUACUUGAUCACAAUUCCUACUCCAAGAAACCACUCGACAAUCUAUUACACUGUCAAUUUUAAUGAUCAUACGUCUUUAUGAUUUGAUAAUUGUUUAUCGAUGAUCAUCAAAGCGAGUGUAUUUCGAUGAGACGAAUGUACUCGUAACACAAUUACGAUUCGUUGUUAAUUAACAUUCGUGGACGAGAUUCUCCUUUAUUACUCGGUUGUUUCGACUCGGAUGUCUCUCGCUCCUCACUCUAUUUCUUCAUUUAUAUCUAAAUCGUUCUCCUCUCUCGACCUCUGACUUCUUUUUUCGCCAUUGUAAACCCUCUAGGGUUCACUCCUCUCUUUUUUUCGCGGUUUCCACCAAUGGGCGGAGUUCCAACCCCGCUGGCAGGGUUGUCAACCUAGCAACCCUUCUCCCACCCUUAAAGUCUGACCUUGCGCAUCUCAUCUCCCUCCGUUUCGCGGGUGGGCGAGAAGAAAAAAGGAGAAACAGGAUCCCGUACCGAGCCAACCACCCCGUGGUUACCUCAAGAUUUAAAUCGUUCCAUGCGAAAUCGACUUACGAGUAAUUUCCACGCUGAAAUUGGGUUCCCACGAAGAAUUUUCCGUUCCACGCGAGAGUAGACGCGGUCAUGUUACACCUGCAAAUUCUCUGAUGACUCUCGAUGAUCGCGAGUCAUCCCGUAGAUGACAAGCGUUAUUCAUCCAAGUACUUUAAAAUUUUUUUAAAUUUCUAGUUUGAAAUUCAACCCUUAGAGUUAACCUAACGUAGGCGAAAAUUGUUGAAUUUAGUAACGAAAAUUUAUAACGUUUAUUUUAUCAAUCGUGGUGAUAAAAGUUCUAAGUUUAGUCACCUUUACGUUAACUGUUUUUAUAUAGCGCAAAAAUGAAAUUAUCCUCAGGCAUAUUGAAGCGAUCAACUUCAUCUCGCUUCUAAGGAUUAAUUGACAAACGACUAACGAAGUACCGAACGAACGUAAACGAGUAGAACAUCUGUCAGGAAUACAUUCCCUGUUAAUCCAGCCGACCUUCCUACUUGUUAAGUCAGAUAUCACGAGGCGAUUUCACGGCUUGAAUCGCGCGGAAAAAAGGAAAAAGUCGCUCCGGGGGAGAAAGAUUUCCUGGAAUCGUCCAAACCAGAUCAGGAUUAAGUGUACGUGAUACGAGAACCCUUGGACGGGCAAACCGAAUACGGGGCUCGAUUAAUCCAAUUCUUUUCUAUCAACCGUGUGACGCGUGCCAUCUUUACCUCCGUCAUUUUAUCGUGCCAACUCUAGUUUCCAAUUUGUAUCACUUAAUCAACUUUUUUAACCCUUUCGUUACGAUCUUCUCCUUGAUGAAAAUACUUCCACGCAAGGAAAAUAAUCUUCCUUAACCCUCACGCGAACCCAGUUCCUUUAUUGUUUUUAUUAAUUUUUUACCUUCAUUUUCAAAAUAAAAAUUUACUCAACAAUUUUAAAUAUUCAAUUUUCGAUGCAUACUACAGGAAGGUUAAUUCCUCUGACCCAGUGGCAAUAAAAGUUUCAUUAUGUCAAUAAAUUUCGAGACGAUUUUACGAAUGAACAUUUAUGUAGCACCGGCGAUGUCGAUUUUGAAGGGUUAAUUGGUCGAAUAAUUAAUACAAGACAAUGAGCAAUCCUCACGGUGAA